rnacentral:rRNA from 1 species
AUACGGAGGGUGCAAGCGUUGUCCGGAUUUAUUGGGUUUAUAGGGUUCGUAGGUGGCGUGUUAAGUCAGUGGUGAAAGCCUGCAGCUCAACUGUAGAGGUGCCAUUGAUACUGACAUGCUUGAGUAUGGACGAGGUAGGCGGAAUUUGUGGUGUAGCGGUGAAAUGCAUAGAUACCACAAAGAACACCGAUAGCGAAGGCAGCUUACUGGACCAUAACUGACACUGAGGCACGAAAGUGUGGGUAGCGAACAGGAUUAGAUACCCUAGUAGUCC